rnacentral:misc_RNA from 1 species
AGACCCCGUCUUGAACGAGAAGGGCGCUGAGCAACCGCCUCUUAUCGAACCUGCCCCAGCGCGCCGUAAUUCGUGCCGUGUCGUGUCUGACCGUUGCGACGGGCGAUACGGUGCAACCCACGUGGAUGCGGCUGCUGUUGGCGCUUCUCCUUCCUUGCCCUGAUACAUACCGUACAGCCGCAGACGCGUGUUACCAUUCACGAGCUUGAUUGGACAUCAGACACUUCGCUUGCCCUCCGCCCUCCACGAUGUUGCGCUACGCACCGAUGCGGCGUUGCAGCGCGGCGGCCAUGCAGACACUAAGCUCCUGGCUUACAGACCUCGCCGAGGAGUCGAUGGCCGUGCCGUCGGCCACUGACGCGGUCCUGCACACGAGGCAGAAUGAUGGGCAAGGGCCCACCCGCAAGACACCUGCGCAGCUGUGGCGUGAGUUGGAAGACGCUGCCGCUCACGCGAACGCCCUUCGCGAGACCGACACGCUGUUCAGCAUCCUGCGGUGUCUUCUGCUCAAGCAGCAGUAUCCCACCGACGUGCACGCGUGGGCUCGCCUCGCGAAGCAACUGUUGCCCUACAGCGGCAUCGAACAGAGGUCGGUGCUGCACUACCCGGGCCGGCCCGACGCCUCGUACCGCAGAGACGGGCACCCACGCGGCAGCAGCCUAGCCAAUCUCUCCUCGUCCAGCGACCCUGUGCUCACUGGCGCGGACGGCGGCAUCGGAGACGAUGGCGCAUCGCGUCGAGGCGGCGGUGGUGCCAGGCGAGGCGGGGAGCACGCAGUGCCGUACAGCCUGUACCCCUCGCGCGAGACACUCUUGCUGAGCGGCGGCGUCGUGCCACUCAGCGCGCGUGUGCCGUUCGGCGACGGCAGAGCGAUCGCGUUGUUUGUGCGCGGCUUUACUCGGUUCGUGGAGGGCCAGCUGGGCGUGCAGCCGCACACGCAGCUUACCUCGGAGCUGUUGCAGGUAGUCAAAGACGUGUCGGACGCCGUGACGGAGGCGUUGGCCGCGAACGCAGACUCCUUGCAGCUGGAGCUACUGCUGCCGGCGUUGCUGGACUACAUGGAGCUGCUCCACGUGCUGGACUUGUGCACGGCCACGGCGACCGGCCGUGGGCCGCUCGCGAUGAAAGAUGAGCGCCGUGCUGCUGCCGGGGCGACGGGGAGAGACGACGAGCCGAGCGGGCACGGUCGAUCAUCACCGCCACGGUCGUCGAGGCCGACGCGCUUUCUUCAGAACAUGGCCAACGACCUUGCACAGAACGUCAUGGCCGGUGCUGCGCGUGGGGCUCGCGUCGUCCUCUACUAUCUGAGCGAGCGUUUUGCCGCUGUUGUAGAGGCGUACCAGGCGGACGCGCCGGCCACCUUCACCGAUAAGAUGUACUGGGCGCAGCAGCGGUACCUGCUAACUCUCACCCGCGCCUGCAUGUGGUCCAUCAGUCAACAUUACACGCCAGCCACCACCGCUGCAUUGUCUGCGGCGCCAGGGAGCGUUGCCUCGUCGCCGUCGCCGCACGUGCAGGGGCUGCGGUCCACUGUCGCCCCAACGGACCUCGUCGCCACCGCGCCUAUGAACGCUCACAUACAGGCGCUGUACGACCACAUCGAUGUGCUCUUCCAACGGAACACGCAUGCCGACAACCCGCUGCACCUGACCGACGAGGAGGUGGCGCAGCUGAAAGAAAUACACACAGCCGCGCUGCUGCGUGCACUGCGCAUCGAGGAGGCGGCCCCGGACGCGUACCUGCGCCGCGCGUUGGAGGUGGUGGAUCGGGUGCCGGCGUCCAUGGCCAUCGAAGGCGAGCUAAUCGCAGGCAAGGUGCGGCUGUUGGAGCUGGACAGCGACACGGUGGACGAAGAGGGUAGGGCUGCCAUCUACGACGACUUGCUGACGUCGCUUCGAAGCUUGGUGGAGAUGCGGCCACGCUUUUCGAGGCACGACGGCGCUCAUCAUGCUGCCGGUGGAGGUGCUGCGGCUGCUGCGUCGGCAAGCACACCCGCCGACGGCGGCGGCGGCGAGGAAGACGAAGGUGAUGGCGAGCAACUGCGACUCGACGCGGCAACGCAGGCGAUCUUGCAGCGUGCCCACACCGACGUCAUCACGGCCUUCUGCGCGGCGCACAAGGAGGAGUGGUCGAACGAGGCGUACAACAUCCUUGUCGCGCACAAGUACCACGGCGUCAAGAUCACGAACGACCUCAUACGGCCGGUCCUGGAGGUGUUCAGCCGCCGCGGCGACUGCCGUGUCUUCAGCUUGGUGGAUUUAUGCGUGCUCUACAGCAAUGAGCCGAUCGACAUGCACACCAUCGCGCUGCUGUUCCGCACAUGCGCGGCGGCCGGUGACCACUACCGCGCUCGCACGUUCCUGCAGCUGGUGAACGAGAUUAUACAUGGGUUUCUUGUGAAGUGUCCGGCCUCGGUGAAGGAGUCGCUGCAGGAGUUGAAGCUGCUCGACCCGCCGCCGCGGCACCUGUUCGUCUCGACCGAGGAUGAUCUUGUGCAGAGUGCGCUCGGCGAGCAGCAACGCACCGUACGCCGGCUUCCUACCGGGUCUUGAAGUACCGAACGAGGGUGGUGGCCAUGCUACUCGUCGUGGUGGCAGCAUCCGGGAUCCACCUCCUCCCUCGUCCCCUUCACCGCGGAUGUGCGCGCGGGCCAGCCCUUGCGCACGUGCUGGCUCGCCGGCUCACAUGAGCCGACAUCGACAAACCCCACUCGCACGCGGCGCUCGCGUGCCGGAGCCGCAUCACAUGCGAAGC